rnacentral:lncRNA from 1 species
CAUGGAUCAGGUACAAAGUGUUUGGUACCGUGCUCCUUUUAAACUCAAUUUAGAAUAUCUUAACACAUGCUGGGCAGCUCCCAGACAUAAAGCUGUGAAGUCUGAAUUGUCAUAAUCUUCUGAGUGACACCUAAGAAGGCUUUGUCUUCAGUCUCUCUCUGCCUCCCCUCCUCUCAUCCCCUCCUCCUCUCCUCCUCUCCUCUCCUCCUCUCCUCCUCUCCUCUCCUCUCCUCCCCUCCUCUCCUCCUCUCCUCCCUCCUCCUCCUCUCCUCCCUCCUCUCCUCCUCCUCCUCUCCUCCUCUCUCCUCCUCUCCUCCUCUCCUCCUCUCAUCCCCUCCUCUCUCUCCUCCUCUCUCCUCUCCUCCUCUCUCUCCUCCCCUCUCUCCUCCUCUCCUCCUCUCCUCUCCCUCUCUCCUCCCCUCCUCUCCUCCUCUCCUCCCCUCCUCUCCUCCUCUCCUCUCCUCUCCUCCCCUCCUCUCCUCCUCUCCUCCUCUCCUCCCCUCCUCCUCUCCUCCCCUCCUCCUCCUCCUCUCCUCUCCUCCCUCCUCUCCUCCCCUCCUCCUCUCCUCUCCCCUCCUCCCCCCCUCCUCCUCCUCCUCUCUCCCCUCCUCCCUCCUCCCUCCUCCUCCUCUCCUCCCCUCCUCCUCUCCUCUCCUCCCCUCCUCCCUCCUCUCCUCCUCCCCUCCUCUCCUCCCCUCCUCCCCUCCUCUCCUCUCCUCCCCUCCUCCCCUCCACCUCUCCUCCUCUCCUCCCCUCCUCUCCUCCCCUCCCUCCUCUCCUCCUCUCCUCCCCUCCUCCUCCUCCUCCUUUCCUCCUCUCCUCCCUCCAUCCUCUCCUCCCUCCUCUCGCUCUCCUCUCUCCCUCCUCUCCUCUCCCUCCUCCCUCUCCUCCUCUCCUCUCCUCCCUUCCUCCCCUCCUCCCUCCCUCUCCCUCCUCGCCUCUCCUCCUCCCUCCUCUCCCCUCCUCCCCUCCCCCUCCUCCCUCCUCCCUCCUCUCCCCUCCCCCUCCUCCCCCCUCCUCCCCUCCUCCUCCCCCUCCCCCCGCUCCUCCCUCCUCUCCUCCCCCCUCCCUCCUCCUCUCCUCCCUCCCCCCGCCUCCUCCUCUCCUCCCCUCCUCUCUCUCCCUCCCCCCCUCCCUCCCCUCUCCCCUCCUCCUCCUCUCUCUCCUCCCUCCUCCCCUCCUCCUCUCCUCUCCUCCCCUCCUCUCCUCCCCUCCUCCCUCCUCUCCUCCUCACCUCUUCUCCAUCCCUCCUCUCCUCCUCCCCUCCUCCCCUCCUCCUCUCCUCCCCUCUCAGUGUCUCAUUUUUAUUUUUUAAAUCUUUGUAUUCCUCUU